AUAAACACCGUUCAGAAGUUUUCAUUCAUCAUAAAAUUGGAUCGAUACAGAGAAGAUUAGCAUGGCCCCUGCGAAAGGAUGACACGCAAAUCCGUGAAGCGCUCUU
ensembl:snRNA U6 U6 spliceosomal RNA